AUGACUGGGCAGGAAGAAAUCGAGACUGCUUGCUAUGCGCUCGCUGAGCGCAUGGAGCAGCUAAUAUCAUCAUCCACCAAGGUUGUAGGCAAGCUCUCAAUCUUGCCCGUCUAUUCGCAGUUGCCUGCUGACUUGCAGGCCAAGAUCUUUCAGAAGGCAGGAGAGGCCACUCGCAAAUGCAUUGUUGCUACCAACAUCGCAGAGACAUCCCUGACAGUAGAUGGUAUCUUGUAUGUCAUCGAUACUGGGUAUGGAAAGAUGAAGGUAUACAAUCCACGGAUGGGCAUGGACGCUCUUCAGGUUUUUCCAUGUAGUCGAGCAGCCGCAGACCAGCGCGCAGGGCGUGCAGGAAGAACUGGCCCCGGCACAUGCUACAGGCUGUUCACAGAAUCAGCUUACCAGGAUGAGAUGCUCCCUAACCCCGUGCCAGAGAUCCAAAGGACCAACCUUGCGAACGUGGUUCUCUUACUGAAAUCCCUCAAAGUCGAAAAUUUGCUUCAUUUUGACUUCAUGGACCCACCUCCCCAGGAGAAUAUCCUCAACUCCAUGUACCAGCUAUGGCUGUUGGGUGCCUUGAACAAUGCUGGCGGCCUUACAAAUCUAGGCUGGAAGAUGGUGGAGUUCCCACUGGACCCAACACUGGCAAAGAUGCUUCUCAUGGGUAAGGAGCUGGGGUGCGUUGAUGAAGUACUGACAAUUGUAUCCAUGCUCUCAGUGCCAUCAGUAUUCUUCCGCCCAAAAGAUCGAGAAGAGGAGAGUGACACUGCAAGGGAGAAGUUUUUUGUACCGGAGUCUGACCAUCUAACACUCCUCAAUGUAUACCUGCUCUGGAAGUCGAACGAAUAUAGCGUAGACUGGUGCAAUGCUCACUUCCUCCAUGUCAAGGGUCUACAGAAGGCUCGGGAAGUGAGAUCUCAAUUGGAGGACAUACUGAACACCCUGAAGAUCCCACAAACAUCAUGCCAUAGGGAAUGGGACGUGGUGAGGAAGGCCAUUUGCUCAGCAUACUUCCAGAACUCUGCAAGGUUGAAGGGUGUUGGAGAGUACGUCAACUGCCGUAAUGGGGUACCCUGCCACCUGCAUCCCAGCAGCGCCCUCUACGGUCUCGGUUACACCCCUGACUACAUCGUCUACCACGAGCUUGUCCUGACAACCAAGGACUAUAUGCAGUGUGUCAGUGCAGUUGACCCGCAGUGGCUGGUAGAGCUGGGGCCCAUGUUCUUCUCUGUGAAGGAGGGUGACACCUCCUUCCUUGACCGCAGGAGGUGGCAUAAUGAGGAGAAGACGGCCAUGGAAGAGAAGAUGGAGAAGCUGAGGCAGGAGCAAGCUGAGACGCGGGGCGAAAGCCUUUUUCGAUAA
rnacentral:rRNA from 1 species